UGGGGAAUAUUGCACAAUGGGGGAAACCCUGAUGCAGCGACGCCGCGUGAAGGAAGAAGUAUUUCGGUAUGUAAACUUCUAUCAGCAGGGAAGAAAAUGACGGUACCUGACUAAGAAGCCCCGGCUAACUACGUGCCAGCAGCCGCGGUAAUACGUAGGGGGCAAGCGUUAUCCGGAUUUACUGGGUGUAAAGGGAGCGUAGACGGAAGUGCAAGUCUGAAGUGAAAGCCCGGGGCUCAACCCCGUGACUGCUUUGGAAACUGUGCUUCUAGAGUGUCGGAGAGGUAAGCGGAAUUCCUAGUGUAGCGGUGAAAUGCGUAGAUAUUAGGAGGAACAUCAGUGGCGAAGGCGGCUUACUGGACGAUAACUGACGUUGAGGCUCGAAAGCGUGGGGAGCAAA
rnacentral:rRNA from 1 species